rnacentral:rRNA from 7 species
GUACGUAGUCUGCGACAUACA